CAGAUAUCCCCAGGAGAACCCCAGACAUCCCCAGAAACCCUAGGACUCCCCAGAGAACCCGGGACAUCCCCAGGAGAACCCCAGGACAUCCCCAGGAGAACCCUAGGACAUCCCCAGGAGAACCCCAGGACAUCCCCAGGAGAACCCCAGGACAUCCCCAGGAGAACCCCAGGACAUCCCCAGGAGAACCCCAGGACAUCCCCAGGAGAACCCAGGACAUCCCCAGAGAACCCCAGGACAUCCCCAGAGAGGCCCAGGACAUUCCCAGCAGAGGCCCAGGACAUCCCCAGGAGAACCCCAGGACAUCCUCAGGAGAACCCCAGGACAUCCCCAGGAGAACCCUAGGACAUCCCCAGGAGAGGCCCAGGACAUCCCCAGGAGAGGGCCAGGACAUCCCCAUGAGAGCCCCAGGACGUCCCCAGGAGAACCCCAGGACAUCCCCAGGAGAACCCCAGGACAUCCUCAGGAAACCCUAGGACAUCCCCAGGAGAACCCUAGGACAUCCCCAGGAGAACCCUAGGACAUCCCCAGAAGGCCCAGGACACCCCCAGGAGAGGCCAGGACAUCCCCAGGAGAGCGCCAGGACAUCCCCAGGAGAGCCCCAGGACAUCCCCAGGAGAACCCCAGGACAUCCCCAGGAGAACCCCAGGACAUCCCCAGCAGAGGCCCAGGAGAACCCCAAUACAUCCCCAGAAGAACCCCAGGACAUCCCCAGGAGAGGCCCAGGAGCGUGAAAAGCCUAUCAGAGAGCUUGAAAUCCUGUGGAGUGGAGUGGAGUCCUCUCUCCCUUCAGGACCUGGCUGUAGAGGUGUGAUGCAAACAGAGGGCUUUCCAUCCCCUCCCUCCUCCCCAUUUCUCCCACCCCUCUCUUUUCUUCCUUCUCCCCCCAUCAUUCCCUUGUUCUCUCUCUCUACUUUCUUCUUGUCUCUCUCUCCUCUGUGCCUCUCUCUGUCUCUGUCUGUUUCUCCAUUCCCCACUCAGAGGAGAGCGUUGUCCUCCCAUAACCGCCCACAGCUUUGUUCCUGUGCACACCUUAAACAGUCCAAUAAAGGUUGUAG
rnacentral:lncRNA from 1 species